AGCUCAGUUGGCUAGAGCAUCAGCCUUCCAAGCUGAGGGUCGCGGGUUCGAGCCCCGUC
rnacentral:tRNA from 1 species